UACGAAGGGUGCAAGCGUUACUCGGAAUUACUGGGCGUAAAGCGUGCGUAGGUGGUUUGUUAAGUCUGCUGUGAAAGCCCCGGGCUCAACCUGGGAAUGGCAGUGGAUACUGGCAAGCUAGAGUGCGGUAGAGGGAUGUGGAAUUCCCGGUGUAGAGGUGAAAUUCGUAGAUAUCGGGAGGAACACCAGUGGCGAAGGCGGCGACCUGGACGGACAUUGACGCUGAGACGCGAAAGCGUGGGGAGCAAACAGG
rnacentral:rRNA from 1 species